GCCAAAAUUUCAUCACUCAGACGACUAUGCUUAUCAUAGUCUGGGAGCCAAAGGCCAGAAUCUUGGUGAACCUGGUUUUGUCGGUUAAAGUUUUUUUUGUUUGUUUGUUUGUUUCUUGUUGCCUAGGGGUUACUCCAAAAGAAUAGGCUGGGUGCCCAAUGAUAUCCCUUGGGCAAUUCCCUAUAUUCCCCAUAUCCCUAUAUAUCCCAAAAUGGUCAACGUGGGUUGUAAACCCAAUUUUUUUGUUUGUGCCACCAAUUUUAUAUCACCCUGUAAACAACUUAAAAGCAUUAUGUCCGUCUUUCCUGUUUAAUCAUCUCCUUAGAACAUUGAAAGUUGA